ensembl:lncRNA
CUGAAAUAAGAGGGAUUAAACGAACAAAAGGUCAAAUACAAUGUUUAGGUAUUGUGUCUGUGUUAAGGCUUGUCCUGAAACAUUGGAAGAGCUCCAGUGUUCACACAGUGGAUGAAUCUGUUGAUACAAAACAACAGCGUAUGAAAUCGUGUUUGCGAAGAGGCUGGAGGAAAAUAAUACAGACUGUGUUUCCUUAAGGGUACAUAGAGGCGUGUAGAGGCGACAGGUAGCCUAGUGGUUAGAGUGUAGAGGCGGCAGGGUAGCCUAGUGGUUAGAGUGUAGAGGCGGCAGGUAGCCUAGUGGUUAGAGUGUAGAGGUGGCAGGGUAGUCUAGUGGUUAGAGUGUAGAGGUGGCAAGGUAGCCUAGUGGUUAGAGUGUAGAGGUGGCAGGGUAGCCUAGUGGUUAGAGUGUAGAGGCGGCAGGGUAGCCUAGUGGUUAGAGUGUAGAGGUGGCAGGGUAGCCUAGUGGUUAGAGUGUAGAGGCGGCAGGUAGCCUAGUGGUUAGAGUGUAGAGGCGACAGGUAGCCUAGUGGUUACAGUGUAGAGGCGGCAGGUAGCCUAGUGGUUAGAGCGUUGGGCUAGUAACCAAAAGGUUGCAAGUUCAAAUCCCGAGCUGACAAGGUA